rnacentral:rRNA from 1 species
GACGAACGCUGACGGUGUGCUUUAGACAUGCAAGUCGAGCGAGAAAGCCCUUCGGGGUGAGUAAAGCGGCGAACGGGUGAGUAACACGUGGGCAAUCUGCCCCUCGCAGGGGGACAACCGGGGGAAACUCCGGCUAAUACCCCGUAAGCUUGAUGGAUCGCAUGAUCCAUCAAGGAAAGGUAGCUUCGGCCAUCCGGCGAGGGAUGAGCCCGCGGUACAUUAGCUAGUUGGUGGGGUAACGCCACCAAGGCGGCGAUGUAUAGCUGGUCUGAGAGGAUGAUCAGCCACACUGGGACUGAGACACGGCCCAGACUCC